rnacentral:rRNA from 1 species
GAUGAACGCUGGCGGCGUGCUUAACACAUGCCAGUCGAACGAUGAAGCCCAGCUUGCUGGGUGGAUUAGUGGCGAACGGGUGAGUAACACGUGAGUAACCUGCCCUUAACUCUGGGAUAAGCCUGGGAAACUGGGUCUAUUACCGGUUAGGAGCGUCCACCGCAUGGUGGGUUUUGGAAAGAUUUAUCGGUUUUGGAUGGACUCGCGGCCUAUCAGCUUGUUGGUGAGGUAAUGGCUCACCAAGGCGACGACGGGUAGCCGGCCUGAGAGGGUGACCGGCCACACUGGGAUUGAGACACGGCCCAGACUCCUACGGGAGGCAGCAGUGGGGAAUAUUGCACAAUGGGCGCAAGCCUGAUGCAGCGACGCCGCGUGAGGGAUGACGGCCUUCGGGUUGUAAACCUCUUUCAGUAGGGAAGAAGCGAAAGUGACGGUACCUGCAGAAGAAGCACCGGCUAACUACGUG